AGUGAACGCUGGCGGUAGGCCUAACACAUGCAAGUCGAACGGCAGCACAGUAAGAGCUUGCUCUUACGGGUGGCGCGUGGCGGACGGGUGAGGAAUACAUCGGAAUCUACUUUUUCGUGGGGGAUAACGUAGGGAAACUUACGCUAAUACCGCAUACGACCUACGGGUGAAAGCAGGGGAUCUUCGGACCUUGCGCGAUUGAAUGAGCCGAUGUCGGAUUAGCUAGUUGGCGGGGUAAAGGCCCACCAAGGCGACGAUCCGUAGCUGGUCUGAGAGGAUGAUCAGCCACACUGGAACUGAGACACGGUCCAGACUCCUACGGGUGGCAGCAGUGGGGAAUAUUGGACAAUGGGCGCAAGCCUGAUCCAGCCAUACCGCGUGGGUGAAGAAGGCCUUCGGGUUGUAAAGCCCUUUUGUUGGGAAAGAAAAGCAGCAGGUUAAUACCCCGCUGUUCUGACGGUACCCAAAGAAUAAGCACCGGCUAACUUCGUG
rnacentral:rRNA from 1 species